AUUUCUUAGCCACAUUCUCGGCACAAUAGAGGCAUACGAAACUCUCGCGAAACUGGAAAAAUAUUACAACGACGAUAACAUUCCAGGAAACCCUGAUGUAGUGUUCCUCCUAACUAAUCGGGAUAUGUCUACAGCUAGGGGCACAUCUCUUGAUAAGAAUAUUGCAGGACUUGCAAAUGUCGCUGGGGUCUGCACAAGGCACCGAGUGGCUAUGGCAGAAGACGUCGCCCCCUCGUUUGACGGCGUCUUCGGAAUGGCUCACGAGAUCGGCCAUUCGCUAGGCGCUCGGCAUGACCCUCGAGG